rnacentral:sRNA from 1 species
UGUGCAGUGCGUUCGGUGUGCAGUGCGAUUCCGCCGAUGUGCAGUGAUAUAUAUUUUUUCUGAUUUUUUUUUUUUUUUGCUCUGAAAUAUAUUCCGUGCAGACGAUAGUGUGCCCAAGGAUAUGGCUAGCACGAUCGCAAUUUCUUUUGCGCCCUGGCCCCAGGACCCAGGACCCAGGACCCACGACCAGGACCAAGUCAAAGCUGACGCCUCGCCUCGUCUGAACUCUGGCCUCCCCCCCUGCCUGCUCCCAGGGCAGGGAUGCCACCCAUCCCGAUCCGACUCGAUGCUGUUGCAAUAUUAUGACUCCUGCUGUUUGUUCUGACAGCCGGCUGGGUGGAUGGGGGGAGGGGCCGGGGAAAAGCGGCAAAAGAAAUGUUUAUUGUGAAGCAUUUUCUAUGGCAAUUGCAACGAGCCUGCCCCCGGACCCGGACCCGGCCCCGACAGCUCGCUCCAGCCAUUCGCAUUAAAUGAGGAAACCAAU